rnacentral:misc_RNA from 1 species
GUGAGUCAUCGAAUCUUUGAACGCAUAUUGCGCCCCUUGGUAUUCCUUGGGGCACACCUGUUCGAGCGUCAUUUCACCAAUCAAGCCUCGCUUGGUUUUGGGCGAUGCGCACGUCGCACGCCUCAAAUGCCCCGGCCGAGCAGUCUCUCACCCGGCGUCGUGGAAACAUACCGCUACGGAGACGAGACCUGCCCGUGCCGCAGAAUAACCUAUUAACAAAGGUUGACCUCGGAUCAGGUGGGGAUACCCGCUGAACUUAAGCAUAUCAAUAAGCGGAGGA